rnacentral:rRNA from 1 species
AUUGAACGCUGGCGGCAGGCCUAACACAUGCAAGUCGAACGAGUGGCGGACGGGUGAGUAAUGUGUGGGAAACUGCCUGAUGGAGGGGGAUAACUACUGGAAACGGUAGCUAAUACCGCAUACCCUCGGAUGUGCCCAGGUGGGAAUAGCUAGGAGGUGGGGUAAAGGCUCACCUAGGCGACGCCCCCUAUCUGGUCUGAGAGGAUGAUCAGUCACACUGGAACUGAGACACGGUCCAGACUCCUACGGGAGGCAGCAGUGGGGAAUAUUGGACAAUGGGCGAAAGCCUGAUCCAGCCAUGCCGCGUGUGUGAAGAAGGUCUUCGGAUUGUAAAGCACUUUAAGUUGGGAGGCGUUACCAACAGAAUAAGCACCGGCUAACUUCGUGCCAGCAGCCGCGGUAAUAC